GCCACAGCCUCGCUCGCAGCCUCGCACCCUCGCUCUUCUCUCUCACGCAGUCACGCGCGCCGCCUCGCCCUCCUCAGUUUCUCCUCUCCUCGCUUGUGCAGUUGCGCCGUCGCCGCUUCACCCUCCUCCUCUUAUCGUCACUCCACCGACGGCACCCCGGUCGAUCCAACCACCCAGAGGAAGGAGAGGGUCGCGUCGAGCUGUCGCCACCCUCUUCUCCCGUCUCAUCUCCAAGCCACCACCUCCACCUCCGUCUUCCUCUCCCUAUCCUCGGUGAGCUGCAGAUCCAGUUUGGGGACCAUGGGAAUCGGUGUUCUUGGCCUCCCCACCGCCGAAGCCAGCCCCACCGCCGUCUUCUCUCCCUCUCAAUCCCACCACCGCCCAUCCCUCCUUCUCCACCCUCUUCCUCUCCCUCUCCACCUUGAUGCCGGAUCCGGCUUUAGGGCCGCCGGAUUUGGUAAGAAGAGGACAUAG
rnacentral:lncRNA from 1 species